rnacentral:tRNA from 1 species
GGCCCCUUCGUCUAUCGGUUAGGACACUAGGUUUUCAUCCUAGUAAGGGCAGUCCGACUCUGCCAGGGGUCA